GGCGCACGGGUGAGUAAUACCUAGGUAACGUACCCUGUUGCUGGGGAUAACUAGAGGAAACUCUGGCUAAUACCGAAUAGUCUACCGGAAACUGCGGUUUCUGGUGGUAAAGCCGCAAGGCGCGACAGGAACGGCCUGGGCCCCAUUAGCUUGUUGGUAGGGUAACGGCCUACCAAGGCAACGAUAGGUAGCUGGUCUGAGAGGAUGAUCAGCCACACUGGCACUGGAACACGGGCCAG
rnacentral:rRNA from 1 species